rnacentral:tRNA from 1 species
AAGGAAGUGACAGAAUGGCUGUAUGUGAUUGGCUUGAAACCAUUUUAUGGGGGUUCAAUUCCUCCCUUUCUCG